GACGAACGCUGGCGGCGUGCCUAAUACAUGCAAGUAGAACGCUGAAGGAGGAGCUUGCUUCUCUGGAUGAGUUGCGAACGGGUGAGUAACGCGUAGGUAACCUGCCUGGUAGCGGGGGAUAACUAUUGGAAACGAUAGCUAAUACCGCAUAAGAGUAGAUGUUGCAUGACAUUUGCUUAAAAGGUGCAAUUGCAUCACUACCAGAUGGACCUGCGUUGUAUUAGCUAGUUGGUGGGGUAACGGCUCACCAAGGCGACGAUACGUAGCCGACCUGAGAGGGUGAUCGGCCACACUGGGACUGAGACACGGCCCAGACUCCUACGGGAGGCAGCAGUAGGGAAUCUUCGGCAAUAGACGGAAGUCUGACCGAGCAACGCCGCGUGAGUGAAGAAGGUUUUCGGAUCGUAAAGCUCUGUUGUAAGAGAAGAACGAGUGUGAGAGUGGAAAGUUCACACUGUGACGGUAUCUUACCAGAAAGGGACGGCUAGCUACGUG
rnacentral:rRNA from 1 species